GCCGUGUCACCAGGCAAGAAUUCCAAUAUGAUGUUGAUUAUGCUGAUCUUCAGCCCCGAGGUCCAUUCCAAGGAAUGAGUGUCCCCCAUUCUUUGCCCUUCCAGCCUCGGUCACUUUGUCCUUCACAGUUAGGGAUACUUUGAUGAGAAGAGGAUGGUGUAUCAUGCUUACUUUGGAUCUUUGGUCCCUGAGAGGCAUGAGAGAAGGAGAAAAUUUGUGAAUGCAUUUCUCGAGUUUGGAUUUGCGUCAAGAAGAGAAGGUGAUGGUCUUCAGACUCUCUGCCCUCCAGAUCUGAAGACACAUUUGCGUUUUGUCUUGAGAGUGAGGCAGACCCAGUCCAACUCUGGAACGGGAAAGAAAAACGGAGGAAGGAAGAGAGCAGAAUGAGGAGGAAAUGAAUGAUGGCAAAGGCCUGCUGCAUCAUCACGUCUGUCCUGGCACACAGCUAUCUGAUCUUCAAGGGCUGUUGUAAGAUAAGUUUUAAAUGCCUCUAGUAGCAAGACACUGUCACUUUUCCUGGGAAGUUCAUCUUACAGCACUGCCUUACAGACCGUGAAUGAGAUUAUUUCCAAAUACAGGAGAUUGCCUUGCUUAGCCAGGCUCUGACUGCUUUAGUCCACAGAGAGCAUGUGUGCUGAAGAGUGGAGAACUGUGCUGUUUCCAGGUGGAAGAGAUUGGUUUCUCCAGCACAGAAAGCAAAAGGAAAGAUCUGUCAUAUCCACUGUGAGGGAGGGGACUGAGUGUAGCAGGUUGUAGCUCCAUUUUGCUUUGCUGCCUUGUGCAGAGCUUCCCAUGGAUGCAUGCGGGUAGAAACAGUGCAUCUGUGCAUUGGGAGAACUCGAAGAAUCCUUGCUGGAGCUCCUCUCCUGACCCUUGGCAAUGAUGCUGCUGGAGACAGGAUACACAUGACGCUGCUGCUUCUCUUAUUCAGAUUUUCUCCACUCUCCUUGCCCUCUUCAAGGUCAUUUCAGCAGUUGGCAGGGUAGGAAUAAUGCAGUCCAUUUUAGGAAGAUGGAAAAAACCCUUCAGUUUGCAUCCUGGCUCACUGUGAGCGCUGGGAAUGCAGACAAUGAGGGAUGGAGCCAGGCUGGAACAUGUUCCUCUCUGGCCUUUACCCUUUCCAUCCUUCCUGCCUUCCUGAGGCAGAGCAUGCUGUGAGCUUCUGCAGGAGAUGCUUCCUUUGAAAGGAACUUUUAUCACAAAGCACUUGCCCCUUAUCUGCAGACUUCAGAUGGGGACG